rnacentral:misc_RNA from 1 species
GGCCCCGCCCGCCGCCGCACGGAUGCGGGGGCACGCACACAAAACGGGGGGUUCGCGGCUGGAGCACGCCGGGACGAUCCGAACGAGGUUCGCGUUUUACCGCGUUUUACUGCGCUCAGUGUACCGACGAGCCCGCCGAUGAACUUGGGGGCCCCGGGCCGCGGAGGGCCCGAGGCGCCCCAACAACAAGCCGAGGCUUGAGGGAAGAAAUGACGCAACGAACAGGCACGCCCGCCAGAACACCGGCGGGCGCGACGGGCGGGCAAAGACGCGAAGAAGCACAGAAACAGCAAACACAGGACUAGGGCAGGGCGCGGCGUCCCCCAACGAAGCCAAAACCAAAAGAGCCGAAGAAGAAAGUUACGAAAGACGACCAACAAGACAAGAGAAACAGAAAAAAAGAAUAGACCCCAACCGGCGGCAGCCGCCGAAGCAGCAACAACAGAAGAGAGAACACGGAGGAGGAAGGAAAAACAGCAGAGAAAAAACAAAACGACAGCCUGCGGAAGGAUCAUUACUGAGUUGAAAAACUCCACCCUGUGAACAUAACCUCUGUCGUUGCUUCGGCGGGCAGCCCGCCGGAGGUUCAAACUCUUAUUUUUUCAGUAUCUCUGAGCCUGAAAGACAAAUAAUCAAAACUUUCACAACGGAUCUCUUGGUUCUGGCAUCGAUGAAGAACGCAGCGAAAUGCGAUAAGUAAUGUGAAUUGCAAAAUUCAAGAAAUCAUCAAUCUUUAAACGCACAUUGCGCCCGCCGGUAUUCCGGCGGGCAUGCCUGUUUCAGCGUCAUUUCACUCAGCUCGCUUGGUUGUUGGGGCGGCCCGGGCCCUCCCGCCGGGGCCCCAAGUCAUCGGCGGGUCGUCGGUAACUUAAGCAAUAAAACCCGGUAAAACGAAACCAUUUGGAAGAACCGGGGGGUCCCCCCCCAAAACCCCCCUUUUUUUUAGGGGGGACCCCCACCCGGGGAAAAACCCCCCCAAAUUCAAAUAUAAAAGGGAAAAAAAAAAAACCACCCCCCCCCCAAAGGGUUUUGGAUCCCCACCCCAAUUUCCGAGGUUUCCAGGUUGAACCUUCGCGAAUUUGCCC